rnacentral:rRNA from 1 species
UACGUAGGGUGCGAGCGUUGUCCGGAUUUAUUGGGCGUAAAGAGCUCGUAGGCGGUUUGUCGCGUCGGCCGUGAAAUCUCCACGCUUAACGUGGAGCGUGCGGUCGAUACGGGCAGACUUGGAGUUCGGUAGGGGAGACUGGAAUUCCUGGUGUAGCGGUGAAAUGCGCAGAUAUCAGGAAGAACACCCGUGGCGAAGGCGGCUCUCUGGGACGGUACUGACGCUGAGACGCGAAAGCGUGGGGGAGCGAACAGG